rnacentral:rRNA from 1 species
GACAGAGGUGCCAAGCGUUAGGCGGAAUCACUGGGCUUAAAGCGUGUGUAGGCGGGUCGUUAAGUACCUUGUGAAAUCCCACGGCUCAACCGUGGAACGGCUGGGUAUACUGGCGAUCUUGAGCCACCUAGGGGCAGUCGGAACAAGUGGUGGAGCGGUGAAAUGCGUAGAUAUCACUUGGAACGCCAAUGGUGAAAACAGACUGCUGGGGGUGUGCUGACGCUGAGACACGAAAGCCAGGGGAGCAAACGGGG